rnacentral:rRNA from 1 species
CCUACGGGCGGCUGCAGUCGAGAAUCAUUCACAAUGGGGGAAACCCUGAUGGUGCGACGCCGCGUGGGGGAAUGAAGGUCUUCGGAUUGUAAACCCCUGUCAUGUGGGAGCAAAUUAAAAAGAUCGUACCACACGAGGAAGAGACGGCUAACUCUGUGCCAGCAGCCGCGGUAAUACAGAGGUCUCAAGCGUUGUUCGGAAUCACUGGGCGUAAAGCGUGCGUAGGCUGUUUCGUAAGUCGUGUGUGAAAGGCGCGGGCUCAACCCGCGGACGGCACAUGAUACUGCGAGACUAGAGUAAUGGAGGGGGAACCGGAAUUCUCGGUGUAGCAGUGAAAUGCGUAGAUAUCGAGAGGAACACUCGUGGCGAAGGCGGGUUCCUGGACAGUAACUGACGCUGAGGCACGAAGGCCAGGGGAGCGAAAGGGAUUAGAUACCCGGGUAGUC